GACGAACGCUGGCGGCGUGCUUAACACAUGCAAGUCGAGCGGAGCGGCGGACGGGUGAGUAAUGCCUGGGAAUCUGCCUGGUAGUGGGGGAUAACGUCCGGAAAAGGGCGCUAAUACCGCAUACUAUCAGAUGAGCCUAGGUCGGAUUAGCUAGUUGGUGGGGUAAAGGCCUACCAAGGCGACGAUCCGUGACUGGUCUGAGAGGAUGAUCAGUCACACUGGAACUGAGACACUGUCCAGACGCCUACGGGAGGCAGCAGUGGGGAAGAUUGUACAAUGGGCGCAAGCCUGAUGCAGCCAUGCCGCGUGUCUGAAGAAGGUAUUCGGGUUGUAAAGUACUUUCAGCGUGGAGGCGGUACCCGCAGAAGAAGCACCGGCUAACUCCGUGCCAGCAGCCGCUGUAAUUC
rnacentral:rRNA from 1 species